rnacentral:lncRNA from 1 species
UCAAAUUUUAUAAUUUUAAUGGUCGAUAUGAGACGUUUUCUCGUUUAACGGUAUAAAGAUGUUCAGAUCAAUUAAAUUUUAGUUAGAAAAUUUUUUAAACUAUUUAGAACAAGUCCUAUACUCUCGAUCUUGAUUAUAAAAUUCAUAUUAUUACUUUUAAAAGAUAUCAUUCUCGGCUAUUUAUUUCGUGUCCAUUUGAUGGACAAGAGAACAAUAUCGAAAAAAUAUGAAAUUUGAUUUCUAAAUGAUUCAAGUCGUAUAGAUUAUGUUCAACAGUAUCGAUCAUCGAUUUGAAAGCUUCAUCAUCAAAAACAGGUACGUCCGGAAACUACUCCGAA